rnacentral:rRNA from 1 species
GAGUGGCGGACGGGUGAGUAAUAUAUCGGAACGUGCCCAGUAGCGGGGGAUAACUACUCGAAAGAGUGGCUAAUACCGCAUACGCCCUACGGGGGAAAGGGGGGGAUCGCAAGACCUCUCACUAUUGGAGCGGCCGAUAUCGGAUUAGCUAGUUGGUGGGGUAAAGGCUCACCAAGGCAACGAUCCGUAGCUGGUUUGAGAGGACGACCAGCCACACUGGGACUGAGACACGGCCCAGACUCCUACGGGAGGCAGCAGUGGGGAAUUUUGGACAAUGGGGGAAACCCUGAUCCAGCCAUCCCGCGUGUAUGAUGAAGGCCUUCGGGUUGUAAAGUACUUUUGGCAGAGAAGAAAAGGUAUCCCCUAAUACGGGAUACUGCUGACGGUAUCUGCAGAAUAAGCACCGGCUAACUACGUGCCAGCAGCCGCGGUAAUACGUAGGGUGCAAGCGUUAAUCGGAAUUACUGGGCGUAAAGCGUGUGUAGGCGGUUCGGAAAGAAAGAUGUGAAAUCCCAGGGCUCAACCUUGGAACUGCAUUUUUAACUGCCGAGCUAGAGUAUGUCAGAGGGGGGUAGAAUUCCACGUGUAGCAGUGAAAUGCGUAGAUAUGUGGAGGAAUAC